UCAGAUCUUCACAGUACUAAGGGAUUGCCGUAGCUCUGGUGCCACCUGCCUGUGGGCCAGGACAUCUGCAUCCGUUUCAGUCUCCCGGGGCCAACUAUUUAUUCAAAGUGGCCUAGUGCUGUUGGCCACUUUUGGCAGGCUGCACCCCAUGUCAGUGGAUGGUUGCCACUCCAAGCUGCAGCUCUGCUGCUGACCCGCUGUCUUGAGACUGCUUCAGAGCCAGACUUUCAGAUUCUGGAGGGGGGCCCCUGGUUUUAAGUGAUCAUCACUCCCCCAGGAGAAGACUGCUCCCAGGUUCUCCUGUGUAUAUAGAUGUAUAGAGGGCAUCUGGGUGCAGGACAGGAGCUAGUUUGGAUCAGCCAGGGCCAUCACUGGUCCACAUCUGUCCACCCAUCAGUCUUCAGAGGCUUUGUGGGUUUGAAGACAACUUUGCAUUUCUUGCCCUUAUGCUUUUGGGUUUCUUCAAUCAUGUGUGCUCGAGUGAGGCCACUGGGUGAUUUAAUAAUAGUAAAAUCAUUUCUGCAAUAACACCACCAAGGUGUUAGAGGUAUCUUCAGAGAUGUGGCUGAGCCAGGAAUGCCUCUCUCUUUUUGGAGUAUUCUGGGCCCAAAAGCUGAGCAGAUGCAGCACAGCCUGACCUGAACCUCAGUCACUGUCAGCAGAGAGCAACGGUGACAGCCAGUGCCCAGACAAAACUGUCCUGGUAGCCAGGCCUCCAAGAAACCAGUUGCCCUGGCCCUCCUGCUCUCCCUUCCUCCCGGCAUGCUUCCCCUGCUGCUCUGUGCACUGCUAGGCAGGCAGCUUGAGAGGAGGGAGGCUGGGGCCUCCAGCUUCUACAGAUCGACUUGCCCCAGUUUCCAGACUCUGGCAGCCCCCAGCCUCUUCCCCACUGUGAGAGUGGAUGAUUCUGCGUGCUUUGCAGCCGAUACUGGAGCACUGGAGCCCAUGAGGGCGCACUUCCUGAGGACUGUGUAGCAAAGAGGACCUUUGGGAUCAAUCCCCAGCGCUCAGCCCAAGGCCCUGGCACCAGGAGUCCAGAUGCAUGGGAACUCAGGGACUUUCUGCAGCCUCUAUCUUUUGGUUCCUUGACAUUAGGUGGCUUUGGGGCUUGGGCCCAGCAGGGGGCGCCGCGGGACUACCCUGGGUGAGUCAUGGUGGGCUAUCACAGCUGAUAACUGUGACACCAACUGCGUCCUGAGUCAGAAGGUGCCCCGGGUGUUCAUGGAUGUCCCAGAGUCACUCCAUGACACACCCCACCCCACCAUAUGUUUCAGACUUUUACUGGAGGGGCCCUGUACUUAGAGAACUAAUAUUUGCAUGAAACAACCCUCCAUCUGCACGGGAAGUGGGGUGGAUAUGAGCAGCGUCAGCCCCAUUGCAGAGCCCUGGGAAGCAGAGCAUCUAUGUCAUGUCUUGGACUCCUCUUCUCCUCAUGCUCUUUACUCUCUGCAAAGGGGCCAGUUCUCAGACCGUGGUGACUCAGGAGCCAUCUCUGAGUGUGAUCCCAGGAGGAACAGUCAGCAUGACCUGCAGCUCCAGCACAGGGGCCGUCACCUCUGGGCACUAUCCCUACUGGUACUUGCAGAAACCCAGCCAGCCUCCCAGGACACUCAUCUAUGAUACCAGCAAUCUUGUAUCAGGGGUCCCUGCCCAGUUCUCAGGGUCCCUCCUUGGGGACAAAGCUGCCCUCACCAUCAAGGGGGCCCAGCCUGAGGAUGAGGCUAUUACUAUAACUUGUGGUACAGUGGUGCUAGGCACAGUGAGAGACUCAGAUAAGGAACUGAGACAAAAACCCGUUAUAACCCAGAAUGGGUCCAGCUGCUGAAGGUAACAGAGCUCUCUAUGGUGCCCAGCUUCCUGGCACAACAAGGGAUAGUUACAUUCUCUCUAAGAUCCUGCUUCCUGGGCUACAUGCACUCCUGGGCCAUGUCUAGGAACAGGACCCCAAGGCUAUGUUCCCAGAGGAGCAGGGUCUACUCCACCUACAGAGCCUUCCUCGAGAUACAUUU